rnacentral:snoRNA from 10 species
GUCUCCGACGAUGUAAAUUUAUACUUUCGUUCUUCUGAAGUUGGCAAUGUGGAAGAACUAUCUGGAGACCUGAACUGGGGGUU